rnacentral:rRNA from 1 species
UAGGGUAGAUCUGACGGUACAUAAGGAUAACGCACCGGCUAACUCCGUGCCAGCAGCCGCGUUAAUACGGAGGGUGCAAGCGUUACUCGGAAUCACUGGGCGUAAAGGGCGUGUAGGCAGCUUAUCAAGUCUCUUGUGAAAUCUAAUGGCUUAACCAUUAAACUGCUUGGGAAACUGAUAGUCUAGAGUGAGGGAGAGGCAGAUGGAAUUGGAUGUGUAGGGGUAAAAUCCGUAGAUAUCACCAAGAAUACCCAUUGCGAAGCCGAUCUGCUGGCACUCACCUGACGCUAAGGCGCGAAAGCGUGUCGGAGCAAACAGGAUUAGAUACCCUGGUAGUCCACGCCCUAGACGAUGUACACAAGUGGCUGGGGUGCUAGCAAUCUCAGUAAUGCGGUUAACGCAUUAAGUGUACGGCCAGCUGAGCAUGUUCGCAAGAUUAAAACUCAAGGGAAUAGGACGGGGUACCCGUCACAAGCGGAGGAGCUUGUGAUUUAAUUCGAUGAUACACGAAGAACCUUAUCUGCCCUUGAUAUCCUAUGAACCUUUUAGAGCUAUGAGUCUGCUAGAUUGCUAUCAACUUGCAGUCAAAUGCUGAACCGAUUUCAUCAGCCAGUGUCGUGAGAAGUCGGCCUACGCCCCGCAACGAGCGCGACAUACGUAUUUAGUUGCUAACGCUCCGCCUGACCACUCUAGAUAGACUGCAUUCGUAAGUGCUGAUACCUGAGACCACGUCAGAGUCAUCAUGUCCCUUAUGCCUUGCGAUACACAC